AUAAAUUUCCCACCGGGGAAGCCAAGUAAUAAUUACUUUCAGUAGGUCUUUGAAGAGAGUAAUCGUUACUUGGCAUUUUU
rnacentral:ncRNA from 1 species